GGUAGCCUACUUUCUGCCUUUUUAAAUUUUGUUUAAAUCUUGCUUGUGACAGUUCUUUUACUAGUGUAUUUUAAGGGUCAUUAUGAGACAGAGGAAUGCUCCUUAGUGCAAGCAUAGUUUCUUAAAUAAAGUAGCUUACCUUGUAAUGUGGCGUGUUAUCAGUGGCUUGUAUCAGAAUCACUUUUUGUUCUAUGAUGCAGAGGUAGCCUACUUUCUGCCUUUUUAAAUUUUGUUUAAAUCUUGCUUGUGACAGUUCUUUUACUAGUGUAUUUAAAGGGUCAUUAUGAGACAGAGGAAUGCUCCUUAGUGCAAGCAUAGUUUCUUAAAUAAAGUAGCUUACCUUGCAAUGUUCAGAUUCAAUAAUUAUUAUCAAUGGAAGGUAAUUGAACUAUUUUGGCACUUCACCAAUUUUACUUGAGUUAUAGAUUCCAGAAUUAUUUCAACAUUUACACUGAUACAUGCUGAAGCAUUUAGCUUGUAUCUUGAUUUGCCUUUUCUGCCAUGAAUAUGUCACACAUGUUGUAUUUUAUAUACAAGCAUAGGAAAUUAAUAUGAUUUUGUGUUUUG
rnacentral:lncRNA from 1 species